UAUAUUUACAACCAAUCAAAAUUUAGUUCUUUUCGAGAUUUAUUUUCAUCUGCUAGUUUGUUAAGGAAAGUUUCUAUAUUAAUUCAUUUUUUUGGCACAAUAUUAUUAAUUCAUUUUUUUGGCACAAUAUUAUUGGUUGUUUUAAUGGUUGCAGGAUUGUGAGAAAAUUUAUGCAUAAUGGUUGCAGGAUUGUGAGAAAAUUUAUGCAUUCCCAAUACAAGAGAACGCACAUCCCUCGAGAUAUUGCUCUGCACCUUACAGGAUUGCAGAUUGCAGACAUUUCAAGGCUAACAUUUUGUCCAAUUUUCCAAGGUCCGGUCUGCACAGGUGGUUCCAAGGCUAGAACUCACAAGAGAUGAAAACGUGGACUUAAGCCGAGCUUUAUUCACAUGCAUUGACAUAUUACUACCAAGAGCGGGUGUAAGAGAACCCAAAUUAUUAUAAGGUAUACACACUAAAAUAGUUGAUAGGUCAUGUCAAAUAAUUGUGCACAUGCAGACAUGUGACACCAGCAAUGUAACGUGUCAACAAAGAUAAAUUUCGAAAGCCCUAGUGUCCUGUCAAUGCUUCACCAUUUUUUUCCUGCUGGACUUGAAAUGGAAUUGCGAGCGCAUGUAGAAAGAAUAGAACAAAGCCGACGUAUUUGCUUGAUGAAGAAACCAUGGAUCAAUAUGUUGAAGAUCAAAAGCUUGGAAAUAUAGUUUUUCCGUUUUAUCAGAGCAUGUUGGGCUAAAACCAGACCAUUUCAUUAACAUGUUUGAGAAAAUGUCACAGACAAUGUGAAUGAAUUACUACACACCCUGCCCAAGACCAGAUCUGGUUUUUGGCUUAAGCCCUCAUUCAGAUGCAACUUGUUUGACACUGUUGUUGCAGGAUGGUGAAAUGAUAGGGCUAUAGAUCUGUAAGGAUGGGAAAUGGAUUCCUGUUCAACCCAUCGUCGGUGCCCUUGUCAUAUAUAUUGGGGACAUGCUCAAGUAAUGAUGAUAAAUUUUAAGUUUUUAGGCCAAAACAAUGUGAAGGACCUAUUAAAGGAUGUUAACUUGUUUCGAAGAUUAUUUGUAUGGGUGUAUAAUUUUUAACUUUUUCAUCCAACCUGUGAACGAUUGCCUCAAUUUGAGAUUUCAUGUAUUAAACAAAACUCUCCCCUCUUUAUUCUUGAUGAUGUAUUACCUAAUUUUUUGUUUAAUAAACUGGGAUUAAUGCUUGAUGCCA